rnacentral:rRNA from 1 species
GAGUUUGAUCUUGGCUCAGAUUGAACGCUGGCGGCAGGCCUAACACAUGCAAGUCGAGCGGUAGAGAGAAGCUUGCUUCUCUUGAGAGCGGCGGACGGGUGAGUAAUGCCUAGGAAUCUGCCUGGUAGUGGGGGAUAACGCUCGGAAACGGACGCUAAUACCGCAUACGUCCUACGGGAGAAAGCAGGGGACCUUCGGGCCUUGCGCUAUCAGAUGAGCCUAGGUCGGAUUAGCUAGUUGGUGAGGUAAUGGCUCACCAAGGCGACGAUCCGUAACUGGUCUGAGAGGAUGAUCAGUCACACUGGAACUGAGACACGGUCCAGACUCCUACGGGAGGCAGCAGUGGGGAAUAUUGGACAAUGGGCGAAAGCCUGAUCCAGCCAUGCCGCGUGUGUGAAGAAGGUCUUCGGAUUGUAAAGCACUUUAAGUUGGGAGGAAGGGCAGUAAAUUAAUACUUUGCUGUUUUGACGUUACCGACAGAAUAAGCACCGGCUAACUCUGUGCCAGCCGACC